rnacentral:rRNA from 1 species
GAUGAACGCUAGCGGGAGGCUUAAUACAUGCAAGUCGAGCGGCAAGGUCUUCGGACCCUAGAGCGGCGCACGGGUGAGUAACGCGUACGCAAUCUGCCCUUCAGUGAGGAAUAGCCCUGGGAAACUGGGAUUAAUACCUCAUAAUAUUGUUUGUUCGCAUGGACGAAUAAUUAAAGUUCUGGCGCUGAAGGAUGAGCGUGCGUCUGAUUAGCUAGUUGGUAGGGUAACGGCCUACCAAGGCGACGAUCAGUAGGGGGCGUGAGAGCGUGACCCCCCACACGGGUACUGAGACACGGACCCGACUCCUACGGGAGGCAGCAGUAAGGAAUAUUGGGCAAUGGAGGCAACUCUGACCCAGCCAUCCCGCGUGAAGGAUUAAGGCCCUAUGGGUUGUAAACUUCUUUUGUUUGGGAAGAAAUCAGGACAUUUAUGUGCUGUUGACGGUACCUUACGAAUAAGCACCGGCUAACUCCGUGCCAGCCGCCGCGGUAAUAC